CCUUGAUGGCGACCGGCGCACGGGUGAGUAACGCGUAUGCAACCUGCCCGAUACCGGGGUAUAGCCCAUGGAAACGUGGAUUAACACCCCAUAGUACUUUUAUCCUGCCUGGGAUGGGAGUUAAAUGUUCAAGGUAUCGGAUGGGCAUGCGUCCUAUUAGUUAGUUGGCGGGGUAACAGCCCACCAAGACGAUGAUAGGUAGGGGUUCUGAGAGGAGGGUCCCCCACAUUGGAACUGAGACACGGUCCAA
rnacentral:rRNA from 1 species